rnacentral:tRNA from 1 species
AUUUAAGUAAUUUAAUAUAAAAUAUUGAUUUGUGGUGUCAAAUAUACGAAACUAUUCGUCUUAGAUC